rnacentral:rRNA from 1 species
GAUGAACGCUGGCGGCGUGCCUAAUACAUGCAAGUCGAGCGAACAGACGAGGAGCUUGCUCCUCUGACGUUAGCGGCGGACGGGUGAGUAACACGUGGAUAACCUACCUAUAAGACUGGGAUAACUUCGGGAAACCGGAGCUAAUACCGGAUAAUAUAUUGAACCGCAUGGUUCAAUAGUGAAAGACGGUUUUGCUGUCACUUAUAGAUGGAUCCGCGCCGCAUUAGCUAGUUGGUAAGGUAACGGCUUACCAAGGCAACGAUGCGUAGCCGACCUGAGAGUAGGAGCGGCCACAGUGGAAAUGAGACAAGGGCGAGAGUCAGAAGGGCGGCAGAAGGGGGGAAUAUUGGAGAAGGGGGGAAAUAAGGAUCAAGCAAUACCGAGGGAGGGAAGAAGGCAUUAGGAUUGUAAAACUCUUUGAUGAGGAAAGAAAAGAAGCCGACGGAAACCCGCAUGUCAGGACGGGACCUAAAGAAAAAGCGACGGCGAAAUUCGGG